CAGCCAUGCGUACGAUCGAGUGCGAGUUCUCCCACUUCGCGGUGCACCCCGGCCACGGCCGCCGGUACGUGCCGUUCGCGUUCCUGUCGACGAAGCCGGUGCUGACCUUCUCGCGGCCGAAGUGCUUCGCACUGUACAUGCGCAAGAAGAACCCGCGCUUCAUUCCGUGGACGCGCACGUACCGCCGCAUCCACCGCAAGACGACGACGGACCGCGUGAACCGCCGCCGCGCCGCGCGCGCGGUGAGGGUGCAGCGCGCGAUCGUCGGUGCGGACCUGUCCUACAUCCAGGAGGUGCGCGCGGCGCGCAAGGAGGACCGCUCCGCCAAGGCCAAGGCCAUCCGCGCGGAGGUGGCCGAGCGCAAGGCCGCCAAGAAGUAGAGCUGUGCCGAUGCUCGUCCUUUUGAUGCAUAUUGCAAUGGCCGCCCGCUGUCGCUAGCAUGCGGGCGCGGACUUUGCGGUGUGCUGCAACUGCCCUUGGUUGUGUUUCGUUUUGUUUUUGUCUUUGAGUAGCAUUUGCAAGCAAGC
rnacentral:misc_RNA from 1 species